rnacentral:rRNA from 1 species
CCUACGGGGGGCAGCAGUGGGGAAUAUUGGGCAAUGGGCGCAAGCCUGACCCAGCAACGCCGCGUGAAGGAAGAAGGCUUUAGGGUUGUUAACUCUCUUUAAGCGGGAAGAGCAGACGACGGUACCUCUUGAAUAAGCCACGGCUAACUACGUGCCAGCAGCCGCGGUAAUACGCAGGUGGCAAGCGUUGUCCGGAUUUACUGGGUGUAAAGGGCGUGCAGCCGGGAAGACAAGUCAGAUGGGAAAUCGCGCGGCUCAACCGCGGAACUGCAUUUGAAACUGUUGUUCUUGAGUACCGGAGAGGUCAUCGGAAUUCCUUGUGUAGCGGGGAAAUGCGUAGAUAUAAGGAAGAACACCAGUGGCGAAGGCGGAUGACUGGACGGCAACUGACGGUGAGGCGCGAAAGCGUGGGGAGCAAACAGGAUUAGAUACCCGAGUAGUC